rnacentral:rRNA from 1 species
CCUACGGGAGGCAGCAGUGGGGAAUAUUGCACAAUGGGCGAAAGCCUGAUGCAGCAACGCCGCGUGAGCGAUGAAGGCCUUCGGGUCGUAAAGCUCUGUCAUCAAGGAAGAUAAUGACGGUACUUGAGUAGGAAGCCCCGGCUAACUACGUGCCAGCAGCCGCGGUAAUACGUAGGGGGCGAGCGUGAUCCGGAUUGACUGGGCGUAAAGGGAGCGUAGGUGGUUUCUUAAGUCAGAGGUGAAAGGCAAGGGCCAAACCGUAGUAAGCAUUUGAAACUGGGGAACUUGAGUGCAGGAGAGGAGAGUGGAAUUCCUAGUGUAGCGGUGAAAUGCGUAGAUAUUAGGAGGAACACCAGUUGCGAAGGCGGCUCUCUGGACUGUAACUGACACUGAGGCACGAAAGCGUGGGGAGCAAACAGGAUUAGAUACCCUGGUAGUC